rnacentral:rRNA from 1 species
GGCGAACGGGUGAGUAACACGUGGGUGAUCUGCCCUGCACUUCGGGAUAAGCCUGGGAAACUGGGUCUAAUACCGGAUAGGAGCCAUUUUUAGUGUGAUGGUUGGAAAGUUUUUCGGUGUAGGAUGAGCUCGCGGCCUAUCAGCUUGUUGGUGGGGUAAUGGCCUACCAAGGCGACGACGGGUAGCCGGCCUGAGAGGGUGAUCGGCCACAUUGGGACUGAGAUACGGCCCAG